rnacentral:rRNA from 1 species
UUAAUAUUCCCCAACCAGGACGUGGAUACUGUAUGGCAACGUAAGAGAAUUCGGUGACGCAGGGGGGAGCCUUGGGAAGCGUUGUCUUUUCUUUUUAACCGUCUCUUACCCUGGAAUCAGAUUGCCUGGAGAUAGGGUUAAUUGGCGGGUAAAGCACCUUGUCUUCCGAGGUGUCCGGUGCGCUCCCCACUGUCCUUGAAAAGCCGAAGGAAAGACUUAUUCACACCCCUGGUCGUACCCAUAACCGCAUCAGGUCUCCAAGGUUAGCAGCCUCUGG